CAAAGUAGACUCUUGAGACAGCCAGCUGCUAGAGACUGGAUCCCCUAUGAAAAGGGGCCAUUAUGUGCUGGAGAAUGACAAACUAUGGAAUCUAACGAAAAGAAGUGAACUAUGUGAAACAGGACUAGAGUGGAUUUGGGAACUGAGAUACAGAAGGUGAAGUUAGUGGUUCUGGGAGCUGAGCUACAUGACGAGGAGUCAUGGAGUCAGGCUUCUCAAGGGUUCUGGGAGAAGGAGGAGGGCAUAUGCUUCCUACACUACCCGCCCCAGCAUUAAAGCUUGAGACUUUAAUUAUAGAGAAGAAGAUGAUUUCGCAUCUGUCUGGAAAACAAGCAAAUGAGAACAGACGAUGCAGGUGAUCCAGAUGUCCUUUAUCCUGCUUAAAGGAUCCAGAGAUGAAACAAUUACCAUCAAACUAGGGGAUAACCCGAAAGCAGCAAUUCCUCCAGGGAAGUGUGAUCAGGAUGCUGGGUGACUGAAAACCUCACCAAACAAGGGUCAAAUUAAAGGAACUGUGGAUAUUUAGCUUGGAACAGAGGAAACUCAAGAAUUUAACCAUAGUCAAGUGCUUGGAGGACUAUCGGGUAGAAGGAGAAUUGCAAUUUUUCUAUCUGGCCCCAAAGGAUAGACCUAGGAUCACUGGAAGAAAAAGCAACAAGAAAUAUUUAGUUAGUGUAUACUAUAUUCAGAGCACUGUGCUAGGCAAUGGGGGGAGAUAGAAAGAUUAGAAAAGAGAUGAUGCCUGUGCUCAAGGAGCUUACAGUCUCACAGAGAGCUAAAACAACAGACAGAUA
rnacentral:lncRNA from 1 species